CCGCCGCGGUUCGCUGCGGAGCCGCAGCCGAGGCUCGAUUGGGGGAGGGGAAGAGGAGGGGAAGGAGAAAAAAAAAAAAAAACCUACACAAAAAAACCGACGACCAAACCCACCGAGCCGCCGGCCGCCAUUUCGCGCAACAACAGGGAGAACCCGAGCGAGCAGCCCCGGCCAAGCACCCUGAGGAGAGAGAGAGAGAAAGAGAGAGAGAAACAAGAGACACACGCACAGGAGAGUUAGACAGGAAAAAAUACCCAUAGACUCCGCCAUGUCACAAGACGUUUAAUCGCCCCCCUCCUCCCUCAGGCUCACUGCCCCGCCAUAGCCGCCUCCGCUGCGUCCGAGCGGAUCCCUUCACCUCGGCUCCCUCCUGCCGCAGAGCACCCGUUAGAGCCCCAAGCUCUGCCCGAGGGGCGGGGGGACGCUUAGGCUACGGCGCGGCCGCUAGUGGCUUCUCCAGUCACCCGCAUGUGGCGGCUCCAUCGAGGCAGGGCUGCGGCUGCCAGCCCCGCUUUUAUCCGGUGCCCCGCGUUUGCGCACUGAAGGAGGCUCGCUCAGCCCCUGGUGGGCGUCGAAUGAAACCCCAGCCGCCGCCUCCCCUCCCUCACUGCGCCGGAGGGGCUGAGGCCGGGCAGAGCGGGGAGGGGACGUGGUGGGGGGAGCGGCAGCGCCGAGCGGCCCGCCCGAUCCGCACAAAGCCGAACCAUUCCCCCGCGCCGUUCCCUGGAGGAGAACGGGGAUCGGCGCUGAGGGGAAGAAGCGCAGUUCCCGAACGCUCUGAGGAAAAGAGCGUUGUCACCUCAGCCCCCGGCAGUCGCUCGGAGCCCCGCACAGCCCUGACGCGGGCCCGCUCAAACCUCCCACUCCCCCCCCGCUCCUCCUCCAUGCGGUUCUUCGUGCGCUCCGUGAGGAAAAUUUACCCCUCUCUUUGAGAUUAGCGACGAGCGGACGUAGCUGAGAGUAAUGCCGGCCGCCAGCAGGAUGCUGGGGUGGGGGGAGCGGCCGAGCUCGGUGCCCCAGAGAACGCGCCUCUGAGUCAAUCCUCCCGCCGGCGUUCGGGGCCGCGCGCCGGACCCCUCUCGCCGUUCCCCCCCACCCCACGCGCCCCCGUCAGCCCCCAG
ensembl:lncRNA